rnacentral:rRNA from 1 species
CCUACGGGUGGCAGCAGUGAGGAAUAUUGGUCAAUGGACGAGAGUCUGAACCAGCCAAGUAGCGUGAAGGAUGACUGCCCUAUGGGUUGUAAACUUCUUUUAUAUGGGAAUAAAACAGGGUAUGCAUACCCUCUUGUAUGUACCAUAUGAAUAAGGAUAGGCUAAAUCCGUGCCAGCCGCCGCGGUAAUACGGAGGAUCCGAGCGUUAGCCUGAUUUAGUGGGUUUAAAGGGAGCGUAGGUGGGUUGUUAAGUGAGUUGGGAAAGUUUGCGGCUCAACCGUAAAAUUGCAGUUGAAACUGGCAGUCUUGAGUACAGUAGAGGUAGGCGGAAUUCGUGGUGUAGCGGUGAAAUGCUUAGAUAUCACGAAGAACUCCGAUUGCGAAGGCAGCUCACUGGACUGCAACUGACACUGAUGCUCGAAAGUGUGGGUAUCAAACAGGAUUAGAUACCCUUGUAGUC